CCUACGGGAGGCAGCAGUGAGGAAUAUUGGUCAAUGGCCGGAAGGCUGAACCAGCCAUGCCGCGUGAAGGUCAGUGCCCUAUGGGCGUUAAACUUCUUUUGUGCGGGAGCAAUAAUGGUCACGUGUGGCCAGACGAGAGUACCGUACGAAUAAGCAUCGGCUAACUCCGUGCCAGCAGCCGCGGUAAUACGGGGGAUGCAAGCGUUAUCCGGAUUUAUUGGGUUCAAAGGGUGCGUAGGCUGUGAGGUAAGUCAGCGGUGAAAUGCCCCCGCUCAACGGGGUGAAGUGCCAUUGAUACUGCCUGGCUGGAAUGCGGAUGCCGUGGGAGGAAUGUGUGGUGUAGCGGUGAAAUGCAUAGAUAUCACACAGAACACCGAUUGCGAAGGCAUCUCACGAAUCCGCGAUUGACGCUGAUGCACGAAAGCGUGGGUAUCAAACAGGAUUAGAUACCCGAGUAGUC
rnacentral:rRNA from 1 species